rnacentral:rRNA from 1 species
UACGUAGGGUGCAAGCGUUGUCCGGAAUCAUUGGGCGUAAAGAGCUCGUAGGCGGUUUGUCGCGUCGGGAGUGAAAACGCCGUGCUUAACACGGCGCUUGCUUUCGAUACGGGCAGACUAGAGGUAUGCAGGGGAGAACGGAAUUCCUGGUGUAGCGGUGAAAUGCGCAGAUAUCAGGAGGAACAGCGGUGGCGAAGGCGGUUCUCUGGGCAGUACCUGACGCUGAGGAGCGAAAGUGUGGGGAGCGAACAGG